CUUGUGGCUUGGGAACGUUUCUACUACUCUGCUGAAGGAGCGCCUGAUGAGGAGGAGAGCUCAAUUGCAACUGUGCUGAAAACACCUGCGAAGAGGAGGGCUUGACACUUGGGAUAGCUCUACACAGUCCUGUGUGACUAGGGUGGCCCUUUUCUCAGCAGGAGAAUGCGGUGGGCCAGGGCCAUGAGGAGGGUAUGAUGUAUGGCUGGGGCCAAGGGCCCAAGGGGCCCAUGCCUGGUGUAGAUGUACUCAUAGAUCUAGGCCUGGGGCUGAGGAGGCUGCCUGCAAGCCGCCACAUGGGGCUGUCUUUGCCCUUGCACCCCGGAGCCGCCCUCGGCGCUUCCCCUUGCUGCCUCGCUGAAUCCUUCAGUUGGAGUAUAGAUGUUGUAAAGAUGUUUAAGAGUAACAAGGAGGAGGGUAUGAUUAAAUACUCUUCUAUUUGGUUCCACAUCCCUCCCCUGCCAAAGCAACAUUUCUUCAUAUUUUACAAGUGAUGAAAUCUUGAUUCAGCUGGAAACAGCCUAUACAGAACAUUCAGCUAGUGAUGAACAUUGUAACCUUCUUGCUCCAAAAAAACAACACAAUAUGGGAAGAGUGGUAAGGCUGUUCAUACUGAUUCUGCUUUGAAUGUCCUCAUUCAUGUUAGGUUCCUUUUCAUU
rnacentral:lncRNA from 11 species